rnacentral:rRNA from 1 species
UAGCUAGUUGGUAGGGUAAGGGCCUACCAAGGCGACGAUCGGUAGCUGGUCUGAGAGGAUGGCCAGCCACACUGGAACUGAGACACGGUCCAGACUCCUACGGGAGGCAGCAGUGGGGAAUAUUGGACAAUGGGGGGAACCCUGAUCCAGCAAUGCCGCGUGUGUGAAGAAGGCCUGAGGGUUGUAAAGCACUUUCAGUAGGGAGGAGGAUUUGGAGGUUAAGAGCUAUCAAAUUGGACGUUACCUACAGAAGAAGCACCGGCUAACUCCGUGCCAGCAGCCGCGGUAAUACGGAGGGUGCGAGCGUUAAUCGGAAUUACUGGGCGUAAGGGUGCGUAGGUGGUUGGCUAAGUUAUCUGUAAAAUCCCUGGGCUUAACCUGGGCAGGUCAGAUGAUACUGGUUGACUCGAGUAUGGGAGAGGGUAGUGGAAUUUCCGGUGUAGCGGUGAAAUGCGUAGAGAUCGGAAGGAACACCAGUGGCGAAGGCGGCUACCUGGCCUAAUACUGACACUGAGGCACGAAAGCGUGGGGAGCAAACAGGAUUAGAUACCCUGGUAGUCCACGCUGUAAACGAUGUCAACUAGCUGUUGGUUAUAUAAAAAUAAUUAGUGGCGC